rnacentral:rRNA from 1 species
GGCCCAGACUCCUACGGGAGGCAGCAGUGAGGAAUAUUGGUCAAUGGUCGGGAGACUGAACCAGCCAAGCCGCGUGAGGGAGGAAGGUACAGAGUAUCGUAAACCUCUUUUGUCAGGGAACAAAGGCGGGGACGUGUCCCCGGAUGAGUGUACCUGAAGAAAAAGCAUCGGCUAACUCCGUGCCAGCAGCCGCGGUAAUACGGAGGAUGCGAGCGUUAUCCGGAUUUAUUGGGUUUAAAGGGUGCGUAGGCGGAAGGUUAGGUCAGGGGUAAAAUGGCGGUGCUCAACACCGGCCUGCCGUUGAAACUGGUCUUCUUGAGUGAGCGAGAAGUAUGCGGAAUGCGUGGUGUAGCGGUGAAAUGCAUAGAUAUCACGCAGGACUCCGAUUGCGAAGGCAGCAUACCGGCGCUCAACUGACGCUGAGGCACGAAAGCGUGGGGAUCGAACAGGAUUAGAUACCCGUGUAU